AGAGUUUGAUCAUGGCUCAGGAUGAACGCUAGCUACAGGCUUAACACAUGCAAGUCGAGGGGAAACGAUAUUGGAAGCUUGCUUCCGAUAGGCGUCGACCGGCGCACGGGUGAGUAACGCGUAUCCAACCUGCCCACCACUUGGGGAUAACCUUGCGAAAGUAAGACUAAUACCCAAUGAUAUCUCUAGAAGACAUCUGAAAGAGAUUAAAGAUUUAUCGGUGAUGGAUGGGGAUGCGUCUGAUUAGCUUGUUGGCGGGGUAACGGCCACAAGGCGACGAUCAGUAAGGGUUCUGAGAGGAAGGUCCCCCACAUUGGAACUGAGGCACGGUCCAAAACUCCUACGGGAGGCA
rnacentral:rRNA from 1 species